GCUUAUUCUCUCUGCAGUCCUGGGAGGAGCUCUGGUGAGAUGGGCACUGAGUGUGCUCUUCCCUUUGUUUGUGAGAGUUAAAGCUAACUUGCUUGGUGACCAGCACAGGGCUUGCCAAGCUCACAGCUCACAGCAUUUCCCUCUCGAAGGUGCUCUGCUGGUCAGAGGACACGAAGCUGAAUCCAGGAAUCCCUGCACACUCCAGAGACAGAGGCAGAAGGAGGCACUCAGGGUUGGAGAGACUGUAAUGUGUGGGAUGUUGAGAGUGAAGUGUUGAUCUUAGGCAGGAUAAGUAGGAAUUAUCCAGGUGUGUUUUAGUUAGGGUUACUGUUGCUUUGACACAUCAUGACCAAGACAACCUGUGGAAGAAAGGGUUUAUUUCAGCUUAUACUUGCAGGCCCAUCACUGAAGAAGUCUAGGCAGGAACCGAUGCAGAGACCGUCCAUGGAGGAGUGUUGCUUACCGGCUUGCUUAACUGCUUUCUUAAAGAAUAAGAAAGCCACUCACAAUGGCCUGACCCUCCCCCACUAAUCACCACUUAAGAAAAUGUCCUAAAUGGCUUCCCUAUGGCCAGAUGUUAUAGAAGCAUAUCUUAUUUAGAGUUAAGAGUCCAUGGCCAUCCUGGCAGGGAACAUGGCAGCAGGCAGGCAGGCAGGCAGGCAUAGCACUGGACUUCGAGCUCACAUCUUGAGAGCCUGCCCCAGUGACACACCUCCUCUAACAAGACCACACCUCCUAAUCCUUUCCAAAGAGUUAUUCCAGCUGGGAUCAGGGACUAAAACCUAUAAACCUGUUGGGGGCCAUUCUCAUCCAAACCACCACAGUGAAAAACAUUGGACCUUCGUUCUGAAGGCAAUGAAAGAAUUUCACAGGUGCUUUAAAAGCUUUCAAGGAAUGUCUUAAGGUAGUAGUUACAAAAUUAAAAGCAAUUAAAAAUCAUCAGACACUGAACAGUCACUCAAAAUAAACAUAGCUGUGCAAAGGACUCCACGUCA
rnacentral:lncRNA from 1 species